rnacentral:antisense_RNA from 1 species
CUUCACCGAGCCCAGCCACAGCGGCCGGUCGGCGGAGCGGUCCUUGCCGUAGAUGGAAAGCAGCGCCUGCGCCUC